rnacentral:rRNA from 1 species
GUCCACGCCCUAAACGAUGCACGUUUGGUGUAGGUCAUUCAGUUGAUCUGUGCCGGAGCUAACGCGUUAAACGUGCCGCCUGGGGAGUACAGUCGCAAGGCUGAAACUCAAAGGAAUUGACGGGGGCCCGCACAAGCGGUGGAGCAUGUGGUUCAAUUCGACGCAACGCGAAGAACCUUACCUGGGCUCGAACGGCUGGUCAACGGCGGUGGAAACACUGCUACCCCGCAAGGGGGUCCAGUCGAGGUGCUGCAUGGCUGUCGU